rnacentral:rRNA from 1 species
UAAAACUCAAAUGAAUUGACGGGGGCCCGCACAAGCGGUGGAGCAUGUGGUUUAAUUCGAUGCAACGCGAAGAACCUUACCUGGUCUUGACAUCCACAGAACUUUCCAGAGAUGGAUUGGUGCCUUCGGGAACUGUGAGACAGGUGCUGCAUGGCUGUCGUCAGCUCGUGUUGUGAAAUGUUGGGUUAAGUCCCGCAACGAGCGCAACCCUUAUCCUUUGUUGCCAGCGGUCCGGCCGGGAACUCAAAGGAGACUGCCAGUGAUAAACUGGAGGAAGGUGGGGAUGACGUCAAGUCAUCAUGGCCCUUACGACCAGGGCUACACACGUGCUACAAUGGCGCAUACAAAGAGAAGCGACCUCGCGAGAGCAAGCGGACCUCAUAAAGUGCGUCGUAGUCCGGAUUGGAGUCUGCAACUCGACUCCAUGAAGUCGGAAUCGCUAGUAAUCGUGGAUCAGAAUGCCACGGUGAAUACGUUCCCGGGCCUUGUACACACCGCCCGUCACACCAUGGGAGUGGGUUGCAAAAGAAGUAGGUAGCUUAACCUUCGGGAGGGCGCUUACCACUUUGUGAUUCAUGACUGGGGUGAAGUCGUAACAAGGUAACCGUAGGGGAACCUGCGGUUGGAUCACCUCCUU